GAUGAACGCUAGCUACAGGCUUAACACAUGCAAGUCGAGGGGUAACAAGAGAAAAGCUUGCUUUUCUUGUUGACGACCGGCGCACGGGUGAGUAACGCGUAUCCAACCUGCCUAUAACUAGGGAAUAACCUUGCGAAAGUAAGACUAAUACCCUAUGAUUUCCUUUGAUGACAUCAGAUUAGGAAUAAAGAUUUAUCGGUUAUAGAUGGGGAUGCGUCUGAUUAGCUUGUUGGCGGGGUAACGGCCCACCAAGGCAACGAUCAGUAGGGGUUCGGAGAGGAAGGUCCCCCACAUUGGAACUGAGCCACGGUCCAAACUCCUACGGGAGGCAGCAGUGAGGAAUAUUGGUCAAUGGGCGGAAGCCUGAACCAGCCAAGUAGCGUGCAGGAUGACGGCCCUAUGGGUUGUAAACUGCUUUUAUACAGGAAUAAAGUUAGCCACGUGUGGUUAUUUGUAGGUACUGUAUGAAUAAGGACCGGCUAAUUCCGUGCCAGCAGCCGCCGUAA
rnacentral:rRNA from 1 species